rnacentral:rRNA from 1 species
CCUACGGGAGGCAGCAGUGGGGAAUAUUGCACAAUGGGGGAAACCCUGAUGCAGCGACGCAGCGUGAGUGAAGAAGGAUUUCGGUAUGUAAAGCUCUAUUAGCAGGGAAGUAAAUGACGGUACCUGAUUAAGAAGCCACGGCUAAUUACGUGCCAGAAGCCGCGGUAAUACGUAGGGGGCAAGCGUUAUCCGGAUUUACUGGGUGUAAAGGGAGCGUAGAGGGCAGCACAAGUCUGGAGUGAAAUGCCGGGGCUUAACCCCGGAAUUGCUUUGGAAACUGUGCAGCUAGAGUGCAGGAGAGGUAAGUGGAAUUCCUGGUGUAGCGGUGAAAUGCGUAGAUAUUAGGAGGAACACCAGUUGCGAAGGCGGCUUACUGGACUGUAACUGACGUUGAUGCUCGAAAGCGUGGGGAGCAAACAGGAUUAGAUACCCUUGUAGUC